rnacentral:misc_RNA from 1 species
AAGUCGUAACAAGGUUUCCGUAGGUGAACCUGAUUAACACGUUAAACCCCCCGUGAACUUUUAUUGCGAACCACGCCUUUGUUAAAAAGUAGCAAUCCCUGGUAUCAUCGCCGAACAGUUUUAAUUCAGGGAUCUCUGCGAAGAGAGCGGUUGUAGGCCUGGCAUUCCUCUGCUUGUUAGUGUCUGACAGUGUCACUAGCUCUGUACGAAUGGCGCAGUCACGAUCGCUGGAGGCCGGCAUAGACCCCCUAUCACCUUUGCAUGAAAACGGGCCUGCGCGGUUAAUUGUCCACCAAACUCGAACAACUGUUAACAAUGGAUAUC